UACGUAGGGUGCAAGCGUUAUCCGGAAUUAUUGGGCGUAAAGAGCUCGUAGGCGGUUUGUCGCGUCUGCUGUGAAAACUGGAGGCUCAACCUCCAGCCUGCAGUGGGUACGGGCAAACUAGAGUGCGGUAGGGGAGAUUGGAAUUCCUGGUGUAGCGGUGAAAUGCGCAGAUAUCAGGAAGAAUAUCCGUGGCGAAGGCGGCUCUCUGGUACGGCACUGACGCUGAGACGCGAAAGCGUGGGGAGCGAACAGG
rnacentral:rRNA from 1 species